rnacentral:rRNA from 1 species
GACGAACGCUGGCGGCGUGCUUAACACAUGAAAGUCGAGCGGAGCGGCGAACGGGUGAGUAACGCGUGAGUAACUGCCCACCUCUCUGGGAUAACAGUUGGAAACGGCUGAUAAUACCGGAUAGUGGGGGAUGACUCGCGUCCUAUCAGAUUGUUGGUGGGGUGAUGGCCUACCAAGGCGGGGACGGGUAGCCGGACUGAGUGGGUGACCGGCCACCUUGGGCUGGGAUACGGCCCACACUCCUACGGGAGGCAGCAGUGGGGGAUAUUGCACAAUGGGCGAAAGCCUGAUGCAGCGACGCCGCGUGGGGGAUGAAGGCUUUCGGGUUGUAAACCUCUUUCGCUAUCGAAAGGGUAGGUGGAGAAGAAGCGCCGGCUAACUACGUGCCAGCCGCCGCGGUAAUAC